GCGGGCGUAGCUCAGUUGGUUAGAGCGCUGGACUGUGAAUCCGGAGGCCGUGGGUUCGAACCCCAUCGCUCGCCCCA
rnacentral:tRNA from 13 species